rnacentral:rRNA from 1 species
UACGGGGGGGCAAGCGUUGUUCGGAAUUACUGGGCGUAAAGGGCUUGUAGGUGGCCAACUCAGUCAGACGUGAAAUCCCUCGGCUUAACCGGGGAACUGCGUCUGAUACUGGAUGGCUUGAGUGUGGGAGAGGGAUGCGGAAUUCCAGGUGUAGCGGUGAAAUGCGUAGAUAUCUGGAGGAACACCGGUGGCGAAGGCGGUAUCCUGGACCAUUACUGACACUGAAAAGCGAAAGCCAGGGGAGCAAACGGG